rnacentral:lncRNA from 1 species
AUAAUAAAUUUUGAUAUUAUCAAAGCAUAGUGCAUUUAUUCCAGGUAGCGAAAAUGCUAGUUCGAAAAUCUCCAUAAGGGUAGGUAUGGAAAUAAAAUCUUCUAAGUGAUAAAAAUCAGGCCAAAAGGUAAAAUAUGAAGAUAGAUCUCCUGACCGAUAAAAAUCGGGCCUAAAGUUAAAGUAUGAAGAUAAGAUCUUCUGAUCGAUAAAAAUCGAACCAAAAGAUAAAUAUGGAGAUAAGAUCUUCUAACCGAUAAAAAUUAGGCCAAAAGAUAAAAUAUGGAGAUAGGAUCUCCUGAUCGAUAAAAAUC